rnacentral:rRNA from 1 species
AGUGAACGCUGGCGGUAGGCCUAACACAUGCAAGUCGAACGGCAGCACAGUAAGAGCUUGCUCUUACGGGUGGCGAGUGGCGGACGGGUUAGGAAUACAUCGGAAUCUACUUUUUCGUGGGGGCUAACGUAGGGAAACUUACGCUAAUACCGCAUACUACCUACGGGUGAAAUCAGGGGAUCUUCGGACCUUGCGCGAUUGAAUGAGCCGAUGUCGGAUUAGCUAGUUGGCGGGGUAAAGGCCCACCAAGGCGACGAUCCGUAGCUGGUCUGAGAGGAUGAUCAGCCACACUGGAACUGAGACAAGGUCCAGACUACUACGGGAGGCAGCAGUGGGGAAUAUUGGACAAUGGGCGCAAGCCUGAUCCAGCCAUACCGCGUGGGUGAAGAAGGCCUUCGGGUUGUAAAGCCCUUUUGUUGGGAAAGAAAAGCAGAAGGUUAAUACCCAGCUGUUCUGAAGGUACCCAAAGAAUAAGCACCGGCUAACUUCGUG